CGUAGGUGAACCUGCGGAAGGAUCAUUACCGAGUGAGGGCCCUCUGGGUCCAACCUCCCACCCGUGUUUAUCGUACCUUGUUGCUUCGGCGGGCCCGCCUCACGGCCGCCGGGGGGCACCCGCCCCCGGGCCCGCGCCCGCCGAAGACACCAUUGAACGCUGUCUGAAGAUUGCAGUCUGAGCAUCUUAGCUAAAUCAGUUAAAACUUUCAACAACGGAUCUCUUGGUUCCG
rnacentral:misc_RNA from 1 species